rnacentral:rRNA from 1 species
GACGAACGCUGGCGGCGUGCUUAACACAUGCAAGUCGAACGGAAAGGCCCUGCUUUUGUGGGGUGCUCGAGUGGCGAACGGGUGAGUAACACGUGAGUAACCUGCCCUUGACUUUGGGAUAACUUCAGGAAACUGGGGCUAAUACCGGAUAGGAGCUCCUGCUGCAUGGUGGGGGUUGGAAAGUUUCGGCGGUUGGGGAUGGACUCGCGGCUUAUCAGCUUGUUUGUUGGGUAGUGGCUUACCAAGGCUUUGACGGGUAGCCGGCAUGAGAGGGUGACCGGCGACAUUGGGACUGAGAUACGGCCCAGACUCCUACGGGAGGCAGCAGUGGGGAAUAUUGCACAAUGGGCGGAAGCCUGAUGAAGAAACGCCGCGUGCGGGAUGACGGCCUUCGGGUUGUAAACCGCUUUCGCCUGUGACGAAGCGUGAGUGACGGUAAUGGGUAAAGAAGCACCGGCUAACUACGUG